UGUUUUCCUAAAUUACAUACUCGGAAGAUUCCAUGCAUUUGUGGAAGAAUAGUAAUUCUUAGUUGUUGUUUUUUUCUUCCCUUCCCCUCAAAAGACUUUUAGUUUGAAAUAUUACUAUGUUCAUUGUCAGUCAGUACUGAAAUGCAAUAACAGAUGUGUUCCGCAGAUUGUAUCUUUGAGUGAAAGCAGACAACAGGCUAAAAUACCGUAUCACUAUUUUAUUUAUAUUUUUAAGAGAGUAAAAAUGCAGGGUUUCCAGUGACAAAAAAUAAUGUUUUUUGCAUCAUUUUAGAUAAUGACCUUUUAAAAGCCCAUUGUGAUACUGUGAUGAAACACAUGCUUGUGAUAUGUGGAUUGAUUGAAUUGCUUUAUAAGUCGGCAUCUUAAUGAAAGGAUCAUAGAUUUUUACAAGAAAAAUCAGAAAACUGAAGUACAGUAUCAAAACGUGAUUUGCCAGAUUUUCCCUUUGAGGAUGGAAAGACUGUUUUUUUUCCCUGCAAGCUCUUAUUGUGCAUAUGCUAUUCCCCCUAGCAUAUGAGAUGAACAAUCGUACAUUGGUGCUGAUGUUGGGAGCAGAUGCUAAAUAGUCAAUUACCAACAUUCCAAAAGUCAGAAUCUUGACCAAAGCAAAGUUGAAUAUACAACAUUUUGCUCAUAUCUUGGGUGUAUUUAAAAAAAGGCAUGUUGACCCCAAAUAAACAGUUUUUACAAGUCAAUAAGCAUCAGAAUCCAGUAAUGUAAGCUAAUAACAACGAGCUUCAUAAUAACCAACUUAUCAGUUAACAGUGACUUUUGUGAAAGCCCAUGAUUAGUAAUAAUGCCUCAUGAAAGUGCUUUUAGAACUUAUUGGAGUGCUUUUUCAUCAUAGACAAUAAUGUUUUAUACAUUUGCUUAACAUAGACCACACUGUCUUAAAAAUAUUUUUUUUUUUGUGAUCCACUAAUGUUUCUUAGUAAUACGGGAGGAUAGAAUUUAAGUUUCUUUUUCUCAGUAAUGGCAAAAUGUUUUGUAUUUUUGUUUAUUUUUUUAUUUUUAUUUUGUAUUUUAUUUUUUUUCAUUUUGACUGAUUUUGGAAUUUGUAUGUCUUGUAUUACAAAUGUGUGGCUGUAAUUGCUUUGCUUUGUGAUAUCAUUAAGGUUGAUUUAAUUUUAUGGUUUAGAAAUUUAUUAAGUGAAAAUAUCAACUAUGCCAAGGAAUUGUUUACCCUCAGUUACCACACUAAUGCAAACUCUGAAUCACACUUUUCAAAACCUCUUCAGAAGCAUUCACUAGACUUAAACUGCCAAAAUGAUAUCAAAGAGCAUUUCUUAUUGUUUUUGCAUUUGAAAAACUGAUAUUAGAAAUACUUCUGCUUAUUUUUGAAAGAAAGAGACCAUUAUAAGCAAAUGUUUGGCUUUGUUGUGGUUUUAAAUGUAACUGCCUGUGCAUUCCCGUAGGUUCAGUCACCUUUGGACUAUUGAAAUAAGGCUAAAGCUUGACUGCACUGGAUAUGGACUGGAUAUGAUUUUGCUGGACAGAACCUUUCUAAUUCAUACUUAAAUCCAUUAAUUAAAAAAAAAAAAAAAAAAAAAAAAACCAACCAUUCAAGUUAUUUCCAUACUGCUGGACUUCACUGCUGUUUUUCUUUUUUUUUCUCACUGGUCAAUAUCAGUUUGUUGUUUUUUCUUUGUUUUUUGUACCCAGAUCGGCUUCAGCAUCCAAGGUUCUUACAAACUUUUUCCCCGUAGAAACUAAAGAGGAAUGAUGGUCAAAUCUCUUGUAUGGGAUGUUUCAGAGACAGAAUUGGGGUGAGGAUUCAGGGUGUUGUGUUAAUUAAAGUUUUGUUGUUUUGUAAAUUUGUUGUUAUUUGUUUAGAGUGGAUCCCUAAUAUACAUUUUUCCUUUAUUGUUUCAUAA